rnacentral:rRNA from 1 species
CGGUAAUACGGAGGGUGCAAGCGUUAAUCGGAAUUACUGGGCGUAAAGCGCACGCAGGCGGUUUGUCAAGUCGGAUGUGAAAUCCCCGGGCUCAACCUGGGAACUGCAUUCGAAACUGGCAAGCUAGAGUCUUGUAGAGGGGGGUAGAAUUCCAGGUGUAGCGGUGAAAUGCGUAGAGAUCUGGAGGAAUACCGGUGGCGAAGGCGGCCCCCUGGACAAAGACUGACGCUCAGGUGCGAAAGCGUGGGGAGCAAACAGGAUUAGA